AAAACAGCACCUCUCGAUUUUGUAAACAUGUUUCCACGUGGAAGGGAGUAGUUUAUGUCGGUCAAGAUUAACCCACAUACAUUGAUUUAGUAAACAAAAACACUCGCUAGAGUACAUUUUGAACAGCCAUUUCCAGGUAUGACAAAAAUAACACAAUUGACCCUAUAAGGAUAUACUCUGAAGACAGUAAUGUGAAAGUUCAAGGUUUGACUGUUGACAGUUCAGAAUUACUUUAAUGAUAAAGAAUGGGUGAAAAAAUUCUCACAUCAUGCUACAUAACAGUACAUUUCAGCUGUAACAAAACAAAUUAUCUGAUGAAAGCUUCAACCACGAGAAUCUAGGAAAGGAUGUCAAGUCCAAAGAGAAGGUAUCCAUAUAACAAAUGGUUGCUGAAUUCAUGAAGACUAGCUGGGUUGAUGCAGUACUUUUCUACUCUUAUGAACCAUAUCUAAACAUCAUUUGAGGAUCCCUUUCUCAGAAAAAAAAGAAUUUGCAUAUUCAAAGACUCUAUAGUUUAUUUGUAUGUUGUUUAACAUUCUUCUUGAGAAUUUUUCACUCAUAUGGGGAUGCCAACAUUUGCCGAUGGAGAGCUGCAAAUUUUGUCCUUUACUUGGCACACAUGGCUAAUUGACCAAUGAGGGAUCUUUUUGGUGCUAGCACCUACUGCAAAACAGGACCUCUGUAUAUACAGUCUCAUCUCUAUGUCCGACUGUGGGAUUUUGAACCAGCAAUUUAAGAAUCAACUCCUUACUCAUGAUUCUCGAGCAGACGCUCUUGCCACUGUGCCAUG